rnacentral:sRNA from 1 species
UCCCUUCACAGCUGCUCAGCAAAGGGGCAUUUGGCUACUUGCUCCCCAUCGUCUCCUUUGUCCUCGCCUGGUUGGAGACCUGGUUCCUUGACUUCAAAGUCCUACCCCAGGAAGCCGAAGAGGAGCGAUGGUCUGACAAUGAAUCAGAUGAAGAAGUUGCUGGGAAGAAAAGUUUCUCUGCUCAGGAGUGGGAGUACGUCCGCCAGGGGAAGGAGGCCACAGCAGUGGUGGACCAGAUCUUGGCCCAGGAAGAGAACUGGAAGUUUGAGAAGAAUAAUGAAUAUGGGGACACCGUGUACACCAUUGAAGUUCCCUUUCACGGCAAGACGUUUAUCCUGAAGACCUUCCUGCCCUGUCCUGCGGAGCUCGUGUACCAGGAGGUGAUCCUGCAGCCCGAGAGGAUGGUGCUGUGGAACAAGACAGUGACUGCCUGCCAGAUCCUGCAGCGAGUGGAAGACAACACCCUCAUCUCCUAUGACGUGUCUGCAGGGGCUGCGGGUGGCGUGGUCUCUCCAAGGGACUUCGUGAAUGUCCGGCGCAUUGAGCGGCGCAGGGACCGAUACUUGUCAUCAGGGAUCGCCACCGCACACAGUGCCAAGCCCCCAACGCACAAAUAUGUCCGGGGAGAGAAUGGCCCUGGGGGCUUCAUCGUGCUCAAGUCGGCCAGUAACCCCCGUGUCUGCACCUUUGUCUGGAUUCUUAAUACAGAUCUCAAGGGCCGUCUGCCCCGGUACCUCAUCCACCAGAGCCUCGCGGCCACCAUGUUUGAAUUUGCCUUUCACCUGCGACAGCGCAUCAGCGAGCUGGGAGCCCGGGUGUGACUGUGCCCCCUCCCACCCUGCGGGCCAGGGUCCUGUCGCCACUACUUCCAGAGCCAGAAAGGGUGCCAGCUGGGCUUGCGCUGCCCACAUGGGACCUGGCCCCAGGCUGUCACCCUCCACUGAGCCACGCCGUGCCUGGAGUCGACUGUCUGAGCAGGCUGUGGGGUGGAGCACUGGACUCCGGGGCCCCGCUGGCUGGAGGAAGUGGGGUCUGGCCUGUUGAUGUUUACAUGGCGCCCUGCCUCCUGGAGAAGCAGAUUGCUCUCCCCCGCCUUGCCAGGGCAGGGUCUGGGCUGGGCACCUGACUUGGCUGGGGAGGACCAGUGCCCUGGGCAGGGCAGGGCCGCCUGUCACCCGUGUGAAGAUGAAGGGGCUCUUCAUCUGCCUGCGCUCUCGUCGGGUUUUUUAGGAUUAUUGAAAGAGUCUGGGACCCUUGUUGGGGAGUGGGUGGCAGGUGGGGGUGGGCUGCUGGCCGUGAAUCUCUGCCUCUCCCAGGCUGUCCCCCUCCUCCCAGGGCCUCCUGGA